GAUGAACGCUGGCGGCGUGCUUAACACAUGCAAGUCGAACGAAGCGCUUUAACCUGAUUCUUCGGAUGAAGGUUUUUGCGACUGAGUGGCGGACGGGUGAGUAACGCGUGGGUAACCUGCCUCAUACAGGGGGAUAACAGUUAGAAAUGACUGCUAAUACCGCAUAAGACCACGGAGCCGCAUGGCUCAGUGGGAAAAACUCCGGUGGUAUGAGAUGGACCCGCGUCUGAUUAGGUAGUUGGUGGGGUAACGGCCUACCAAGCCAACGAUCAGUAGCCGACCCGAGAGGGUGACCGGCCACAUUGGGACUGAGACACGGCCCAAACUCCUACGGGAGGCAGCAGUGGGGAAUAUUGCACAAUGGGGGAAACCCUGAUGCAGCGACGCCGCGUGAGCGAAGAAGUAUUUCGGUAUGUAAAGCUCUAUCAGCAGGGAAGAAAAUGACG
rnacentral:rRNA from 1 species